rnacentral:rRNA from 1 species
AGUGAACGCUGGCGGUAGGCCUAACACAUGCAAGUCGAACGGCAGCACAGGAGAGCUUGCUCUCUGGGUGGCGAGUGGCGGACGGGUGAGGAAUACAUCGGAAUCUACUCUGUCGUGGGGGAUAACGCAGGGAAACUUACGCUAAUACCGCAUACGACCUAAGGGUGAAAGCAGGGGACCUUCGGGCCUUGCGCGAUUGAAUGAGCCGAUGUCGGAUUAGCUAGUUGCCGGGGUAAAGGCCCACCAAUGCGACGAUCCGUAGCUGGUCUGAGAGGAUGAUCAGCCACACUGGAACUGAGACACGGUCCAGACUCCUACAGGAGGCAGCAGUGGGGAAUAUUGGACAAUGGGCGCAAGCCUGAUCCAGCCAUACCGCGUGGGUGAAGAAGGCCUUCGGGUCGUAAAGCCCUUUUGUUGGGAAAGAAAUCCAGCUGGCUAAUACCCGGUUGGGAUGACGGUACCCAAAGAAUAAGCACCGGCUAACUUCGUGCCAGCCGCCGCCGUAACAC